UGGGGAAUAUUGCACAAUGGGCGCAAGCCUGAUGCAGCCAUGCCGCGUGUGUGAAGAAGGCCUUCGGGUUGUAAAGCACUUUCAGCGGGGAGGAAGGCGAUAAGGUUAAUAACCUUGUCGAUUGACGUUACCCGCAGAAGAAGCACCGGCUAACUCCGUGCCAGCAGCCGCGGUAAUACGGAGGGUGCAAGCGUUAAUCGGAAUUACUGGGCGUAAAGCGCACGCAGGCGGUCUGUCAAGUCGGAUGUGAAAUCCCCGGGCUUAACCUGGGAACUGCAUUCGAAACUGGCAGGCUAGAGUCUUGUAGAGGGGGGUAGAAUUCCAGGUGUAGCGGUGAAAUGCGUAGAGAUCUGGAGGAAUACCGGUGGCGAAGGCGGCCCCCUGGACAAAGACUGACGCUCAGGUGCGAAAGCGUGGGAGCAAACAGG
rnacentral:rRNA from 1 species